UACGGAGGGUGCAAGCGUUAUCCGGAUUCACUGGGUUUAAAGGGUGCGUAGGUGGGCUUGUAAGUCAGUGGUGAAAUCUCCGGGCUUAACCCGGAAACUGCCAUUGAUACUAUAGGUCUUGAAUUAUCUGGAGGUCAGCGGAAUAUGUCAUGUAGCGGUGAAAUGCUUAGAUAUGACAUAGAACACCAAUUGCGAAGGCAGCUGGCUACAGGGACAUUGACACUGAGGCACGAAAGCGUGGGGAUCAAACAGGA
rnacentral:rRNA from 1 species